rnacentral:rRNA from 1 species
UACGUAGGUGGCAAGCGUUGUCCGGAUUUACUGGGCGUAAAGAGCGCGCAGGCGGUCGUUCAAGUCGCGUGUGAAAGCCCCCGGCUCAACUGGGGAGGGUCACGCGAUACUGAUCGACUCGAAGGCAGGAGAGGGAAGUGGAAUUCCCGGUGUAGUGGUGAAAUGCGUAGAUAUCGGGAGGAACACCAGUGGCGAAGGCGACUUCCUGGCCUGUUCUUGACGCUAAGGCGCGAAAGCUAGGGGAGCAAACGGG